rnacentral:lncRNA from 1 species
AUUUCGCUUUAGGGGGUUGGUUCACAGGUACAACCUUUGUAACUUCAUGAUAUACCCAUGGAUUGGCCAGUUCUUAUUUGGAAGGCUGCAAUUUCUUAACUGCCGCGGUUUCUACUCCUGCUAAUAGUUUAGCACAGGAGAAUCACUAUGACUGUAGCCCUUGGUAAGUUUACCAAAGACGAAAAAUGAUUUAUUUGAUAUUAUGGAUGACUGGAUACGGAGGGACCGUUUCCUUUUUGUAGGCUGGUCUGGUCUAUUGCUCUUUCCUUGCACCUAUUUCGCUUUAGGGGGUUGGUUCACAGGUACAACCUUUGUAACUUCAUGAUAUACCCAUGGAUUGGCCAGUUCUUAUUUGGAAGGCUGCAAUUUUUUAACUGGUGCAGUUUUCUACUCCUGCUAAUAGUUUAGCACAUUUGUUGUUGUUACUAUGGGGUCCUGAAGCACAAGGAGAUUUUACUCGUUGGUGUCAAUUGCGGGGUCUGUUGACUUUUGUUGCUCUCCAUGGAGCUUUUGGCCUAAUAGGUUUCAUGUUACGUCAAUUCGAGCUUGCUC